rnacentral:sRNA from 3 species
UUGACUUGCAAAUGAUAAUGAUUAUUAUUGGGCUCAGCUGAUCGCAAGAUCAGUCGAUAGACCAAGAGACCUUAGGUCGGACUCUUGGAAUAUCUCCUCAUCAGGCUAAUCACGGUUUUUGACCCGGCUCUUUGGCCGGGUCUUUUUUUU